rnacentral:rRNA from 1 species
GGUGUAGGCGGCCUUUCAAGUCGGAUGUUAAAUCUCCUGGCCUAACUAGGAGGGUGCAUCCGAUACUGUUGGGCUGGAGUGCAGUAGAGGAAAGCGGAAUUCCCGGUGUAGUGGUGAAAUGCGUAGAUAUCGGGAGGAACACCAGUGGCGAAGGCGGCUUUCUGGGCUGUUACUGACGCUGAGGCCCGAAGGCGUGGGGAGCAAACAGGAUUAGAUACCCUGGUAGUCCACGCAGUAAACGAUGGAUACUAGGUAUGGGGAGUAUCGACCCUCCCUGUGCCGAAGUUAACGCUUUAAGUAUCCCGCCUGGGGACUACGGUCGCAAGACUAA